ACGGAAGGCAGCAGUGGGGAAUAUUGGACAAUGGGGGAAACCCUGAUCCAGCGACGCCGCGUGAGUGAAGAAGUAUUUCGGUAUGUAAAGCUCUAUCAGCAAGGAAGGAAAUGACGGUACUUGACUAAGAAGCUCCGGCUAAAUACGUGCCAGCAGCCGCGGUAAUACGUAUGGAGCAAGCGUUAUCCGGAUUUACUGGGUGUAAAGGGAGCGUAGACGGCAAAGCAAGUCUGAAGUGAAAUCUAUGGGCUCAACCCAUAAACUGCUUUGGAAACUGUUUAGCUAGAGUGCAGGAGAGGUAAGUGGAAUUCCUAGUGUAGCGGUGAAAUGCGUAGAUAUUAGGAGGAACACCAGUGGCGAAGGCGGCUUACUGGACUGUAACUGACGUUGAGGCUCGAAAGCGUGGGGAGCAAACAGGAUUAGAUACCCUGGUA
rnacentral:rRNA from 1 species